UACGGGGGGGGCAAGCGUUGUUCGGAAUUACUGGGCGUAAAGGGCUCGUAGGCGGCCAACUAAGUCAGACGUGAAAUCCCUCGGCUUAACCGGGGAACUGCGUCUGAUACUGGGUGGCUUGAAUCCGGGAGAGGGAUGCGGGAUUCCAGGUGUAGCGGUGAAAUGCGUAGAUAUCUGGAGGAACACCGGUGGCGAAGGCGGCAUCCUGGACCGGUAUUGACGCUGAGGAGCGAAAGCCAGGGGAGCAAACGGG
rnacentral:rRNA from 1 species